UUCUUGGAUUAAACCGUGAAA
rnacentral:piRNA from 1 species